UACGAAGGGGGCUAGCGUUGCUCGGAAUUACUGGGCGUAAAGCGCACGUAGGCGGCUUUCUAAGUCGGGGUGAAAUCCUGGAGCUCAACUCCAGAACUGCCUUCGAUACUGGAGAGCUCGAGUCCGGGAGAGGUGAGUGGAACUGCGAGUGUAGAGGUGAAAUUCGUAGAUAUUCGCAAGAACACCAGUGGCGAAGGCGGCUCACUGGCCCGGUACUGACGCUGAGGUGCGAAAGCGUGGGGAGCGAACAGG
rnacentral:rRNA from 1 species